ACAGUGGCAUCAUGGGAACUCUGCUGUUACAGUUUGCUUGGCUGUGCCGAAAGUUCAGAAGAAGCUCAUUGCUCCACAAAGCUCUGCUGCUUCAUUUUCUGCUUUCUUCAGCUGUAGAUCCAUCAGAAUGCAAAGCUGUUUGGAUUUUUAAGGUGCCCUGGAC